GUCGUUUUGUGCUUGUGUUGUUUAGUGUGUCAUUAAUCUUUCUUCUCAUUGUGUAUUUUUUCUCUACAAUUAAAUUUUUUUCUGAUGGUUUUGUCCACAAGUGUAAUUUUGUGUAUUUGUAAAGUUAUUGUGUAUUUUGCUGCUUUGUGUGUUAUGAGUAAUAUUCUUGUUUAUUUUAUGUGCUUUUGGGGUGAUAAUGUGUAUUUUUGGUGUCAUAUUUUGUAUUUCUGUUAUUCAGUGUGUGUGAUUAUUAAUGUGGGGUAUUUCUGUUGUCAUUUUGUAAACUUUUCUGUGAAUUUGGUGUACAUUGUCAUAUUUUUCUCUAUAUUUGUGGUCAUUUUGUGUGUUUUAUAAACCGUAAACUCUGAUUUAAAUCACAGGACAAACUGUUGAUUGUGAGUAAAUGUGAGCGGCUAUGGUUAUGGUGGUGACGCACCAUGCACGCGGCAGGUCUUUAAAGGGUAGCGCGCAUGAGGCGGGAGCGCGCAGCAGCAGCAGCAGCAGCAGCGGACGGUUUGACGCACGGUCUGUAGGAAGCUCUCAAAGUCUGUCACUUUUUCUACUGACAGCGCAUUAAAGACACAGCAGGCUUAACAUGGGUAACAGGUUCAGUAGAAGGCCAAAUGGCCCAGAAAAUGCUGAGACUGAGGCCACUGAACAGAAGACCAGUGCAGAGCCAGCACUGGAUUCUUCCGUCACUCAGGAGGUGGUCAAGGCAGAAGGUCCAGAGGAGAAGAAUGAAGAGUGUCCACCUGAAUGUCAACAGUUUGUUGCUCAAACAAACGUAGCCGAACUAGAGCCAAAAAUAUUGGAAGUCCAAGCACCAGUAGAACCUGAACAGUCACUGGUUCAAGCAGAACUACCUAAAGAAGAUCCCGAAGUCGAGAUAGGAUCUGAGGCCAUUUUAGAGGAAGCUCCAUCUUCAGAAAUAGUUCCUGAACCAGAAUCUCAGACCUCCGAGGCCAAAGAAGCUUCUGAACCUGUUUUGGACACAGAAAUGUCUUCAGAACUGGUUCCAGAAGCAGAUUCUACUUCCAGUUCAGAGACCAAAAAAGCUCCUGAACCUGUUUUGGAUGCAGAAGAGUCUUCAGAACUAGUUCCAGAAGCAGAUUUUACCUCCAGCUCAAAAGCUGAAGAAGCUCCUAAACCAGACGCAGAAGAGUCUUCAAAAGAUUCUACCCCCAGCUCAGAAGCUGCAGAAGCCCCUAAACCAGUUUUGGAUGCACAAAAGUCUUCAGAACUGGUUUCAGAAGCAGAUACUACCUCCAGCUCAGAGGCCAUGGAAGUACCCAAGCCUGCUGAACCAGAUGUGAUUGCAUGUACCGAGGAAGACGUUGAGGCAGACCCCAUACCAAACUCCGAGCCGGAAAUCAAACCAGGUUCAAAACCUGAUUCUGAGUCAAAGUCAUCACAGAGCUCAGAGGCUGAGGAGGAACCUACCUUGAUACCAGAACCAGAACCAAUGAUAGCUGAAGAUAAUGAAACAGAGCCAGACCUUCUUGCUCAAGAGUCUUUACAGGAGCAAAUACCAUUGAUUCUUUCUUCGCUCAAUUCAAAUAUCACUGACGUCAUUUCGUCUUCAGCUCCGAUCAUUGACGACGAUCCGUCUGACACGCCCACAGAUGACCAACGCCAAGAAGAAGAACCUGCUGAAUGCUUGGAGCCAAAAGAGCCUGAGGAAACCUCUCAGGAGCCACUGGUUGAGCUGCCGCAGGCUUGCAAUGACAUCAACGAAGAGAGUGUUUGUGAAAGCCUAAAAAAGAUGAACCUGAAAGGAAAGGACUUUGUUGACGACCUGAUUCCAAGCGAUGUAGAGUUAUCCACUGACACGCCCAUCACAGACCUGACUCAUUUGCUUCUAGCCUCUUGUGCGUGUUUCGUCAGAGAUACAAUCAUCGUUUCUAAUAUUUCAAACCAAACCUCAGCUCUCACAAACUGGAAAUUUUUGUUUUUUUCCUCUUUUUUUUUUUACUGCACAAAUACAAGUUGUCUUCUGUCUGCUUCACAGUUGCAUGAUCACAGCUAACAGGAAGUCAGAUUGAACUUUAAAACUUGGACUAAAUGUAUAAAUUUCCUCCCAUUAAAGGGAAAAUUAAAAAAAAAUAUAUCUUGUUAACCAUGCAUGUGUUUAUAAUUUGACAUUAAUAAUUCAUAUUGGUUUGUUUUAAUCCCUUUGUAUCCAUUGUGUCAGGUAUGAAUGGAUUUUAUUUUUUUGCUUAUCAUUAAGGAGUUAAAUGUUCACAGAUUAUAUAAACAUUUGACAGGAUUUUCUCUUUGUAAACUUGCAUGGUGGAUAAGAUUUAAUUGAAACGUGUAUGUUUGAUGUGAAUGGAUUCAGUAAAGUGGGGCCCAACUUGUAACUGAAUACAUUCCAGUGUCUUAGAAAUAGUGUUAAAAUACUCUAAAGGGAGACAAUCAUCAAUGUUUUAUAGUGAUUUAAGUGCAAAAAGAUUUGUUUUUUCUUGUUAUUUUCCAAAAGUGGAUGUUUUUGGGGGAUGUUGCAUGUAACUCUGGAAUGUAAUUCAAAAAGAUGUGGAAUAAAAAGACAACACUUGAGUUUUGAAUUGCA
rnacentral:lncRNA from 1 species